GUCUAUGGCCAUACCACCCUGAACAAACCCGAUCUCAUCUGAUCUCAGAAGCUAAGCAGGGUCAGGCCUGGUUAGUACUUGGAUGGGAGGAAGGAGGAGACAAGCUCCAGAGCAA
rnacentral:rRNA from 10 species